rnacentral:SRP_RNA from 1 species
GCCGGGCGUUGGUGGCGCACGCCUUUAAUCCCAGCACUCGGGAGGCAGAGGCAGGCGGAUCGCUGUGAGUUCAAGGCCAGCCUGGUCUACAGAGUGAGUUCCAGGACAGCCUCCAAAACAAUACAGAGAAACCCUGUCUCGGAAAAAAACAAAAAAGAAUAGGAACGAUACUGGGAAUGAAGGUGUGCAUUCUUUUUUUUUGUUUUUUGUUUUUUGUUUGAGACAGGGUUUCUCUAUAUUGUUUUGGAGGCUGUCCUGGAACUCACUCUGUAGACCAGGCUGGCCUCGAACUCACAGAGAUCCGCCUGCCUCU